rnacentral:rRNA from 1 species
ACACUCCUGCGGGAGGCAGCAGUGGGGAAUAUCGCACAAUGGGCGCAAGCCUGAUGCAGCCAUGCCGCGUGUAUGAAGAAGGCCUUCGGGUUGUAAAGUACUUUCAGCGGGGAGGAAGGCGAUAAGGUUAAUAACCUUGUCGAUUGACGUUACCCGCAGAAGAAGCACCGGCUAACUCCGUGCCAGCAGCCGCGGUAAUACGGAGGGUGCAAGCGUUAAUCGGAAUUACUGGGCGUAAAGCGCACGCAGGCGGUCUGUCAAGUCGGAUGUGAAAUCCCCGGGCUCAACCUGGGAACUGCAUUCGAAACUGGCAGGCUAGAGUCUGGUAGAGGGGGGUAGAAUUCCAGGUGUAGCGGUGAAAUGCGUAGAGAUCUGGAGGAAUACCGGUGGCGAAGGCGGCCCCCUGGACAAAGACUGACGCUCAGGUGCGAAAGCGUGGGGAGCAAACAGGAUUAGAUACCCCGGUAGUCCC